UUCAUCCCCCACCCACUUCGUUCCCCACCGCCUGCUAUCUCUCUCUCAAUCCAAUUCAAGCGGCGGCAACGACGACACCCACCGAUGGCCACGGUGCUGCGACGGGGAGGUGGGUACCGACGGCGACGGGGAUGUUGCAGCUGUCGGCCGCUGGAGCUGCAACGACCUCGACCGGCGGCACGGGGGGAGGGGCACCACCGGUGCUCAAGAAGAUGCGACCUCGCCCGGCCAUGGCGGGUGUGGGGACGGCGGUGGCGGUUUGCUACAUCCGACUCUGGCAGACGCCGGAAGCGGCCAUGGAUUUUGCUGGAAGUGGCCAUGGAUUUUGCUGGAUGGCAGACGCGGGCACGCAAGAUGCUACAAGCACAUGUCGGCGAGCUACCACCAAUCAGAGAAGUUGCAACCCCCGGGGCGCUGUGUCCGGCGAACCGAAGUUGGGACAUAGGUGAGGGCGGCGACCGACGGUGAGGGUGACUGGCGGUGAGGAGGCGAGGCGGUCGGUGCGUGCGGGGAGCGUCAGCGCGUGUGAGGCGGGCCUCUCCCUUUCCCGUGCCAGAGGUUAAAGACUACGGCUCGGGGGGGGGGGGGGGGGGGGGGGGGGCGGGGGGCGCCAGAUCGGGCGGCUGGGGUUGGACCGGCCCAACAGUUGGGCCGGCGCAGAUCGUUGCCCAUUUGCAAUUGUAGCUGGCUGGUAUACUCGGUGGCAGCGCCGCCAAUUUGGAGAAGAUCCAAACGCCCGACAGAACGACACUUUAAAUCAAGGCUCUAGCGAGAAAUUUUAUCCAAGCCUCAACACCUAAAAGUUCUGAUCGAAAGAGUAAUCUGAUGUGGAAUAGAUUGAGACGAGGUAGUCAAAAUCAAUGUGGAUGUUUCAUUCCAUUCGGAGACUCUUGAUGGCGCAACUGGUACUAUUGCUCGCGACGAUCAAAGGAAUUUCAUAGCGGCGACAACAUGGUUUUUACCUUAUUUGAGGAGUGCUGAUUUUGUCGAGUUGAUUGCUAUCAGAUUGUAGCUUUCCAGUCGAGUCUACACAACAUAUGGAUGUAUACUAAGGCACGGAGGUAUCAACCACCAUGGAAUGCAAUCAGCUUACCCAUGAUUUUGUGAAAGUUUUCUAUACUCAUUGUUAUCGAGAAUCAAAUACAAUAGCUGACUGGUUAGAUUCUUUUUCUUAUAGCACUAGAUCCCCUAGCUUUUGGAACGCCUUGAUCCCUGACAUUAUUUCUCAUUUACAUGUAAAUGACACAUCGAUCAUUUGAGGAAUAAAGCCUUAUUGUUCUGAAUUA